GACGAACCGUGCGAACGUUAUUCGGAAUUACUGGGCGUAAAGCGCGCGUAGGCGGCUUUGCAAGUCGGGUGUGAAAUCCCCAGGCUCAACCUGGGAACUGCAUUCGAGACUGCAUUGCUAGAGUAUGGGAGAGGGAAGUGGAAUUUCCGGUGUAGCGGUGAAAUGCGUAGAUAUCGGAAGGAACAUCAGUGGCGAAAGCGACUUCCUGGACCAAUACUGACGCUCAUGUGCGAAAGCGUGGGGAGCAAACAGG
rnacentral:rRNA from 1 species